CCAAAGCUUCUUCCAGUUCCGGGUCAAGGGUCACCUUUUCUUCUUUACGCGUUUCUACAGGCUUUUCUUUGGGUAUAAAGACUCUCCCUUUAAACCAGAAGAAAAAGACUAUGGAGUGCUACUGCCUUAUUGGUAGGAUAGCCCCUGGAUUCCUGACGCCCCCACGAACCAUCUGGAGAUUAAUCUGGAUCAAGAGAUAAUUUCCCAUAGCCACUCCUCAGACCUCUACUCUGAGAACAAAAGAAAACAGCUUUCUCCUUAUGAUGCUGUCACUACUUGAUGUUAAUUGGGAUUUGAUAAAUUUUUUUGCAAUUAAAUUAGUCAAAUAGCAACUCUGCUGCCAUAGAAACA